rnacentral:lncRNA from 1 species
AGAUGAGUCUCAAAAUUAACUUUUGAUCUUUCAAACUCUAGAUGAGAUAAUCUUAAAAAUUCAUAGGUGAUCUAUCAAACUUCAUACGAGAUGUACUUAUAAGUCGAUUUUGCUCCAAACAAUGUGAUGCUCAUAAGUUAGAAGUGGUUCGCGAAACUCCAAACGAGAUAAUACUUAUAACUAAAUUUCGAUCCUUUAAGCUUCAAAUGAGAUACUCAGCUACGGUCUUCAAACUCCAAAUGAGUGAUGCUUAUAACUCAAUUCCGAUCUAUCAAACUAUAGACAAGAUGAUGGUUACAAGUCUGUUAUAGUUUUUCAAGCUCCACACGAGAUGAUGCUCACAAGUCAGGUUUUAUCUUUCAAGUUGAAGAUGAGAUGAUACUCAUAAGCCAAAUCUCAUAUAACAAGCUUCAGAUAAGAUAAUAAUUAUAAGUUCGACGUACAAAAGUCAAAUGUGAUAUUUCAAGUUACAGACAAGAUAAUGCUCAAAAGUUUUGUAAGGUUCGAAUGAGACGAUAUUCGUAUAUAAGAUGGUUUUCCUAUAUCCGAUUAACAAUAAAUAGAUGUGUCAAUCCUUCAUCAUAUUCUAUGUUAAAUUUACCUAAAUAUUUUCUUAUUUUUCUAAAAUC